AAAGCCCGAACCACGUUAAUUCAAAUUGGCCCGUACCCUAAACCGACACAGGUGGGAAGGUAGAGUAUACCCAGGGGCGCGAGAUAACUCUCUCUAAGGAACUCGGCAAAAUGGCCCCGUAACUUCGGGAGAAGGGGUGCCACCGAGAGGUGGUCGCAGUGAAGAGUCCCAGGCGACUGUUUACCAAAAACACAGGUCUCCGCUAAGUCGCAAGACGAUGUAUGGGGGCUGACGCCUGCCCAGUGCCGGAAGGUUAAGGAAGUUGGUCAGGGAGCAAUCCUGAAGCUAGCGACUGAAGCCCCGGUGAACGGCGGCCGUAACUAUAACGGUCCUAAGGUAGCGAAAUUCCUUGUCGGGUAAGUUCCGACCCGCACGAAAGGCGUAACGAUCUGGGAGCUGUCUCGGAGAGAGGCUCGGCGAAAUAGGAAUGUCUGUGAAGAUACGGACUACCUGCACCCGGACAGAAAGACCCUAUGAAGCUUUACUGUAGCUUGGUAUUGGGUUCGGGCUUUGAUUGCGCAGGAUGGGUGGGAGACUAUGAGAUAGCUCUUGUGGGAGUUAUGGAGUCACUGGUGAGAUACCUCUCUAUCAAGGCUAGAAUUCUAACUUUGACCCGUUAUCCGGGCAGAGAACAGUAUCAGGUGGGCAGUUUGACUGGGGCGGUCGCCUCCUAAAUGGUAACGGAGGCGCGCAAAGGUUCCCUCAGGCUGGUUGGAAAUCAGCCAUUGAGUGUAAAGGCAUAAGGGAGCUUGACUGCGAGACUGACAAGUCGAGCAGGUACGAAAGUAGGCCUUAGUGAUCCGACGGUUCCGCGUGGAAGGGCCGUCGCUCAACGGAUAAAAGUUACUCUAGGAUAACAGGCUGAUCUCCCCCAAGAGUUCACAUCGACGGGGAGGUUUGGCACCUCGAUGUCGGCUCAUCGCAACCUGGGGCUGUAGUCGGUCCCAAGGGUUGGGCUGUUCGCCCAUUAAAGCGGUACGUGAGCUGGGUUCAGAACGUCGUGAGACAGUUCGGUCCAUAUCCGGUGCAGGCGUAGGAACAUUGAGAGGAGUCUUCCUUAGUACGAGAGGACCGGGAAGAACGCACCGCUGGUGUACCUGUUAUCGUGCCAACGGUAAACGCAGGGUAGCCAAGUGCGGAGAGGAUAACCGCUGAAAGCAUCUAAGUGGGAAGCCCACCUCAAGAUGAGUGUUCCCAUGGCAAAAGCCAGUAAGGUCACGGGUAGACCACCCGUUAAUAGGCGCUAGAUGGAAGUCCAGCAAUGGAUGUAGUCGAGGCGUACUAACAGACCGAGGGCUU
rnacentral:rRNA from 1 species